rnacentral:rRNA from 1 species
AGAGAUGUGUGAUGACGCAUAUCAAUAAGCGGAGGAAAAGAAACUAACAAGGAUUCCCUUAGUAACGGCGAGUGAAGCGGGAAGAGCUCAAAUUUGAAAUCUUCAAGGUUCUACCUUGACGAAUUGUAGUUUAAAGAAGUGUUUUCUGUUAGUGGAGUGGCAAAAGUUCUUUGGAAUAGGACAUCAUAGAGGGUGAGAAUCCCGUAUUUGGUCAUUCUUUCUAGCUUUGUGAUACACUUUCAACGAGUCGGAUUGUUUGGGAAUGCAGUCCAAAAUGGGUGGUAAAUUUCAUCUAAAGCUAAAUAUUGGCGAGAGACCGAUAGCGAACAAGUACCGUGAGGGAAAGAUGAAAAGAACUUUGAAAAGAGAGUUAAACAGUACGUGAAAUUGUCAAAAGGGAAGCGUUUGACACCAGUGUUGUUUUUCCGAAAAUCAAUUACGAAUGUUUUGUUUUUAAGAAGUUAUGACUUCAUCGGCUUGCUUCUUUCUUUACGAAACUUUCUUAAUGCACUUUUCGGUUAACAAGUCAGCAUCAAUUUCUUUUGUUGUAAAAAGGUACGAGGAAGGUGGCUUUCUUUUCGGAGAAAGUGUUUAUAGCCUUGUACCUCUGCAAUCGGAGAGAUUGAGGUCUGCAGCGUAGAUCCUUCGGGGUUAGAUACAUUUGUGCUAAGUUAUAGCUUUUCAUAGACAACUUGUUGACUAUGUUAAGUCUUGUAGCUUACUCGCUUAUGCUAUUUUACCUACGCUUAGGAUGUUGACGAUCAGCUGAGCGCG